rnacentral:rRNA from 1 species
AUUGAACGCUGGCGGCAGGCCUAACACAUGCAAGUCGAGCGAGCGGCGGACGGGUGAGAAAUGUCUGGGAAACUGCCUGAUGGAGGGGGAUAACACCUGGAGACGGUAGCGAAUACCGCAUACCAUCGGAUGUGCACAGAUGGGAUAAGCUCGUUGGUGGGGUAACGGCUCACCACGGCGACGAUCCCUAGCUGGUCUGAGAGGAUGACCAGCCACACUGGGACUGAGACACGGCCCAGACUCCUACGGGAGGCAGCAGUGGGGAAUAUUGCACAAUGGGCGCAAGCCUGAUGCAGCCAUGCCGCGUGUGUGAAGAAGGCCUUCGGGUUGUAAAGCACUUUCAGCGGGGAGGCGUUACCCGCAGAAGAAGCACCGGCUAACUCCGUGCCAGCAGCCGCGGUAAUAC